rnacentral:rRNA from 1 species
CCUACGGGAGGCAGCAGUAGGGAAUAUUGCUCAAUGGGGGAAACCCUGAAGCAGCAACGCCGCGUGGAGGAUGAAGGUUUUCGGAUUGUAAACUCCUUUUGUUAGAGAAGAUAAUGACGGUAUCUAACGAAUAAGCACCGGCUAACUCCGUGCCAGCAGCCGCGGUAAUACGGAGGGUGCAAGCGUUACUCGGAAUCACUGGGCGGAAAGAGCGCGUAGGCGGGAUAGCAAGUCAGAUGUGAAAUCCUAUGGCUUAACCAUAGAACUGCAUUUGAAACUGUUAUUCUAGAGUAUGGGAGAGGUAGGUGGAAUUCUUGGUGUAGGGGUAAAAUCCGUAGAGAUCAAGAGGAAUACGCAUUGCGAAGGCGACCUGCUAGAACAUAACUGACGCUGAUGCGCGAAAGCGUGGGGAGCAAACAGGAUUAGAUACCCUAGUAGUC